AUGGGUCCUAGAGGUGGCAAACACGAUAAAGGUAAGAGGGUGAAGUGUGAGAAGAGUGUAGUUCAAGACAUGACGCGGUCUCUGCGUGAUAUGUCGGAUACUAUGCGUUUCACACACGUGACCAACCUGAAUGAGAAUUUAUUCAAAAUAAUUGAUGACAUGGAAGAAUACCCUCUCUUCGUCCGACUUGCACUACAGACAUCUUUGGCCACAAAUGAAGAAGUGGCGUCCAUGUUGAAAGGGAGGCCGAUGACUGCUAUUCAAGAGUUUGUGCGGCGUUGGGUCGGCGAUAACUUUCCUGAACACAUUCAUGUUGCUCCUGACGUGUGA
rnacentral:rRNA from 1 species